UACGAAGGGGGCUAGCGUUGUUCGGAUUUACUGGGCGUAAAGCGCACGUAGGCGGACUAUUAAGUCAGGGGUGAAAUCCCGGGGCUCAACCCCGGAACUGCCUUUGAUACUGGUAGUCUUGAGUUCGAGAGAGGUGAGUGGAAUUCCGAGUGUAGAGGUGAAAUUCGUAGAUAUUAGGAAGAACACCAGUGGCGAAGGCGGCUCACUGGUCCGGUACUGACGCUGAGGUGCGAAAGCGUGGGGAGCAAACAGG
rnacentral:rRNA from 1 species